ensembl:antisense Gm15948 predicted gene 15948
AACAAUGAAACAGCGUUCAAGGAGGUCUCUGCUGGUGACAGAUUCUUCCUAAAUUCUGAGUCUCACCCUGCAAGAAGCUUUCUGGCUGUUUUCCCUCGGCAGUGGCUGGAGGAGGCCCCUGAGAGGUCAUGAAAAGCAGGAAUGCACCCAGGAAGCAUGCCGUGCCCAGGCUCCAGGCCCUGCCUCCUUCCUUCCUUCCUGCCACUCUGGCUUGCUCCACAGCAGCCUACAGAUCCAGAGUAAGGCAUCAGGCUCGGGACAUCCGGAAGAGUGAAGAUCAGAAAGAAUGGUUAAUGGGUGAACUCAUUAUUAUAAUGACUACUCUUUUCAUACCUGCUUACUUACAAAAGAGAAACUCUGGAUUGAUGGGGCCAUGUCAAUCAUUUUAUUUCUUCUAGCAGAAUCAG